AGCAUCUUUUGCAGAUGAGAGUGGAAAUGAAACUAGACGUAGAACUAAGUUUAAAACUGAUCUUUGGAUUCUAAUUGGUGGUAUAGUGGGGCUUGUGGUAAUAAUAAUCGUUGCGUUGUUGAUCUUACUGAAAAGGAAGACUGAAGUUAAACCAUCAAGUGGAAGAUAUAUAUCAGAUGAAUCCGGAGAAUCAAGUUAUCGUGGACUAUCCCUUAAAGAAAUUUACUCCGCGACUGACAAUCUUAACAUGUCUAACUUCAUAGGUCAAGG